CUGAGAGGGCGGCGCGUGAGGUCAAGCCGUUUUGACUCCGCGACAACUGACCUCUGGAGACCUCUUGAAACCACAAGAGGGCCCGGGAGCAGACGAGGUGGCGGGACCCGGGCGGCCAACCCCAACUCUUGCAGGAUCCUGUGCUCCUGUCUCCCCAGCGAGACGCCUCCUGAAAAGUAUAUGUAGUUGAGUAUGUUAACACAUGCCCAUAACACCAGCCCAUACGAGAUGACCACGAAUUGAAGGCCAGUUUGGAUUGUAUUUCACGUUCUGGGCUGCAAGAGUGUCUCAAAAAGCAAACCAGAACAAAACAAAACAAAGUGAUGUAGACAUUCAGCGUUUUCAAAUUAGUUAACUUGGAAAUAGACGAAGAAACCCCAUAUCCAGCCAGGUGUCCUGGUGCAUUAUAAUAAUUAUGACCCUCUUCUACAGUGUCUUGUUUUACUUUCACUGGAGAAAAGGAAAAUUGAGUUAAAUAAUGGGAACCAUAUUUACUAAAUUUUUGCUUACCAAUUACCAUAAAAAAAAAAUACCUGCUUUUGCUUGGUGUGUUGGCCCAUGUCUUAGUAUUCAGAAGACUGAGGCAGGUGGAUUUCUGUGUUUCAAGGCCAGAGGAGGGAGCUCAGCUGAAAUUCCAGCUAAUCAAGACACUAAGGCAGGAGGCAAGGUUAAAAAAAAAAGCCUGUCUAGGCUGUAGGGUGAGUUUUGCGGUCACCAGCAUGGGCGACGUAGAGCAUGUUUUAAAAUAGAGAGCUCGGGAUGUACUGUAGUGGUGGAGGCUGUUUGCUUGAACUAGAUUCGAUCCCUAGCACCAUAUGCAAAACAUUAGGUUUCGAACAUGAACGGGAUAAAUACUUUGCAGGAUGUCUGGAGGACAGCUAAGACAGAAACUAUGGUAGUCACAUGGGGUGUCGUUCAGACAGUUUCAUUUGCUUGCUUGGAACUUACUGUGAAGACCAGGCAGGCCUCAGAUUCGUAGAGAUUCACCUGCCUCUGCUUCCAGACUGCUGGGAAUAAAGCUACA